rfam:Ixodes scapularis strain Wikel colony gcontig_1108378222140, whole genome shotgun sequence.
CCCUGGUUAGCUCAGUUGGUAGAGCGCUCCACCUGUAAUGGAGAGGUAGCGGGUUCGAUACCCGGACCAGGCG